GAAACGGCUGCUAAUACCGCAUAAGCGCACAGUACCGCAUGGUACAGUGUGAAAAACUCCGGUGGUGUGAGAUGGACCCGCGUCUGAUUAGCUAGUUGGCAGGGCAACGGCCUACCAAGGCGACGAUCAGUAGCCGACCUGAGAGGGUGACCGGCCACAUUGGGACUGAGACACGGCCCAAACUCCUACGGGAGGCAGCAGUGGGGAAUAUUGCACAAUGGGGGAAACCCUGAUGCAGCGACGCCGCGUGAGCGAAGAAGUAUUUCGGUAUGUAAAGCUCUAUCAGCAGGGAAGAAGAAAUGACGGUACCUGACUAAGAAGCACCGGCUAAAUACGUGCCAGCAGCCGCGGUAAUACGUAUGGUGCAAGCGUUAUCCGGAUUUACUGGGUGUAAAGGGAGCGCAGGCGGAAGGCUAAGUCUGAUGUGAAAGCCCGGGGCUCAACCCCGGUACUGCAUUGGAAACUGGUCAUCUAGAGUGUCGGAGGGGUAAGUGGAAUUCCUAGUGUAGCGGUGAAAUGCGUAGAUAUUAGGAGGAACACCAGUGGCGAAGGCGGCUUACUGGACGAUAACUGACGCUGAGGCUCGAAAGCGUGGGGAGCAAACAGGAUUAGAUACCCUGGUAGUCCACGCCGUAAACGAUGAA
rnacentral:rRNA from 1 species